CAAGAAAACAAAGAAAAUAUUUAGCUAUGCGCCCCGGUCUCCAAGCAGAUAUCUAAUGUUUAGAAAACAUGGUUCUAAAACUAGAAUUCUUCAGCGUGAAGAUCAAACACAAUGUGAAUGAGAAGCAGAUCUGAACUUUAGAGUGAGCAAAGUUAUAUUCAUAAUAAUAUUCACACAUUUACAUCUUUUCAGGUCGAUCUGGAAUUAGUUUAUACUAAAUUGGGUAAAAUAAAACAGCUUUCCUUCUGGCUUGAGAUAACUGGAGCAUCACAACAGACAUUCG